GUCGCUUCGGCAGUACAUAUACUAAUAUUGGUAGUGGAAAGAGAAGAUUAACAUUGUCUCUGCACAAGGAUGACACAUAUCCUUGCCAUAGCUCAAGCGGUUAGU